UUGUGCUCAUUCAGCCACACAUAUACUAAAAUUGGAACGAUACAGAGAAGAUUAGCAUGGCCUCUGUGUAAAGAUGACAUGCACAUUCGUGAAGAACCCUUAAUACAU
ensembl:snRNA U6 U6 spliceosomal RNA